AAAAAACCAACCAAAAAUUCGCUCUAAAGAUAAUCAUGUGCGAACCGUGCGGACCAUUCGCGCCCCGUGGCUGCCGCAGCCGUGAACUGCGUUGUGGCAUCAUGUACACAACCUGCGAUUGUGUGAAGCGCAAUGGGCUCCAGGAUAAGUGUCCGCGGUCGGCAUGCCAGGGACGGCCGGCGUGCCUGUGCUUCCCGUACCCGGGCUGCGGACCAUCGGCCUUCCCCCUGCGCUACGCAAACAUGACCAUGGGAGUGAACAAUAAGCGGAUGCGUUGUCAAGCAACUGGAGCUGCCGGUGGCGGUGGAGGCGGUGCUUGCGGUGGUCGCGCUGCCGGCGGAUGCUGUGGAGGUCCAUGUAAUCCAUGUGGAGGCGGUCCAUGCUGUGGUCCAUCUCCCUGCUGUGCCCGCUAUCUCGUAAGAAAGGACAACAUGCCUUGUGUGUGGUGUGCGCCCUGUAAGGCUCACUGCUACAACACGCCGCCGAAAUGCUGCUGCUAGGUGUGACCAGCAUCCUCCAUUCGGUUCGCACUUGAUCCAAGCCCCUCCGUUAAGUCCCUUCGCGCGUGGCUUCUAGGAUCGGACCAGCACUAGCCCUCGUCUGGGAGUGCCUGGGAGUGAGCACGAGCCACACACCCUUCGGUAAAAAAAAACCCGUCCCAGGUCCUAAACCAUUCCAAGCUUUGAUCAAACAAAAAAAAGAGUUUGUGAUUCCAAUGGACAUGUUGACGAAGUAUUUGUUGAGCGCAUUUUUGGUGGUAACUAAAUUGAAAGCAAGUUGAAUCCGCAAGGAACCCAGUGGCACCACUCGUCGGAGCUCCAUCAAAGAAACAAGAACGUUGAAAUCGGCGAGCGGAGAACACUGCUCGGGCUUUGUGGAUAAAGGGAAGAUGCUCCCAACUCAGCAUCUUUCACUACUUUGGCCCGAAUGUUUCUCAAUUUUGACAUAAAAAUAUAAUCGAAAUUCUUGGUACUAAAAAAAAACAUCCAUAUGUCGAGUUUGGGCACUUUUUUGGCAAUAAAUUCACUAACAAUUUA